UGACAGGUGGUGCAUGGUUGUCGUCAGCUCGUGUCGUGAGAUGUUGGGUUAAGUCCCGCAACGAGCGCAACCCCUAUUGUUAGUUGCCAUCAUUCAGUUGGGCACUCUAGCGAGACUGCCGGUAAUAAACCGGAGGAAGGUGGGGAUGACGUCAAAUCAUCAUGCCCCUUAUGACCUGGGCCACACACGUGCUACAAUGGUUGGUACAACGAGUUGCGAGUCGGUGACGGCGAGCUAAUCUCUUAAAGCCAAUCUCAGUUCGGAUUGUAGGCUGCAACUCGCCUACAUGAAGUCGGAAUCGCUAGUAAUCGCGGAUCAGCACGCCGCGGUGAAUACGUUCCCGGGCCUU
rnacentral:rRNA from 1 species